rnacentral:rRNA from 1 species
AUUGAACGCUGGCGGCAGGCUUAACACAUGCAAGUCGAGCGGAGAUGAGGUGCUUGCACCUUAUCUUAGCGGCGGACGGGUGAGUAAUGCUUAGGAAUCUGCCUAUUAGUGGGGGACAACAUUCCGAAAGGAAUGCUAAUACCGCAUACGCCCCACGGGGGAAAGAGGGGGACUCGCAAGAGCCUCUCGCGCUCGGAGGAGCCUGCGUCGGAUUAGCUAGUUGGUAGGGUAAAGGCCUACAAAGGCGACGAUCCGUAGCUGGUCGGAGAGGAUGAUCCGCCACACAGGAACUGAGACACGGUCCGGACUCCUGCGGGAGGCAGCAGUGGGGAAUAUUGCGCAAUGGGCGAAAGCCUGACGCAGCGAUGCCGCGUGUGUGAAGAAGGCCUUCGGGUUGUAAAGCACUUUCAGAGGGGAGGAAAGCCUCGGGGUUAAUAUCCCCGGGGGGUGACGCUACCCUCAGAAGAAGCACCGGCUAAUUCCGUGCCAGCCGCCGCCGUAA